rnacentral:rRNA from 1 species
AUGGACCCUUCCAUCCCGUAUUCCCGUUGUUAUGCAUCGGAGUCGGAUGAUGAUGGUCCCUAUGAUGAAGUUGAUGAGGAGGGGUUCACGAUGAAGGAGGCCCAAGCUUUCAAGAAGGUACUAUGACUUGAUCAUCGUGUUCCAUUGUUCAAGGAUCUUAGUCUCGUGGAUGAAGCCGUGGUUGACGGUGGCAAGGGUAUCUUUCUUGGAGUUAGGCCAACUUCUCAUCGGGAUUUGGAGCACAAGAAGAACGGUAUUUCUCCCGGGUCGAAGUUUGGAACCUUCUUGGAAUUCAAGAUGUGGGUGAUGACUACUCGGUUGCGCAUUAUCAUUCGCACAAGGUGGUUCACUCGGACGUGA